rnacentral:rRNA from 1 species
GAAGUUUAGCUUGCUAAAUGGACUCAUGGCGGACGGGUGAGUAACGCGUAAAGAACUUGCCCUUUAGACUGGGAUAACAGAGGGAAACUUCUGAUAAUACUGGAUAAGUUAGUAUAUCGCAUGAUAUACAAAUGAAAGCUACGGCACUAAAGGAGAGCUUUGCGUCCUAUUAGCUAGUUGGUAAGGUAAGAGCUUACCAAGGCGAUGAUAGGUAGCCGGCCUGAGAGGGUGGACGGCCACAAGGGGACUGAGAUACGGCCCUUACUCCUACGGGAGGCAGCAGUGGGGAAUAUUGGACAAUGGAGGGAACCCUGAUCCAGCAAUUCUGUGUGUGUGAAGAAGGUUUUAGGACUGUAAAACACUUUUAGUAGGGAAGAAAAAAAUGACGGUACC